rnacentral:lncRNA from 1 species
GACUUCCGGUCUUCAGUCUUGCUCAUUUCCCAGAUAUUGCUCUUUUCUUUCUUUCCUUUUUUAAAAACAGCUCUAGAACUCUCGAUCGCAGCCAUGCCUGAGUGGGCGCGCAGCAGAGUUUAGGCGGUUUGGGGUGCUAAUUAAUUCAGGUGCAGAAGAGCAGCCCAGUCAGGCGAAGCUGGCACCUGGCCCAUGUGUGAGUGGUGACUCACCUGCUGGAAGACAAUCUGGGGACCGUAUAGCUUGAAUAGCAACAAAUACUUGGCUUGAUUCAUGCGUGGAUGUUUACGGAUUAUCUAGAAGGAAAGCUGGAGCCGGGAUGAUUCCUAAAUAGGGUGUCCUACCAAAUUGGCUUCCAGGCUGUUACAAUGGCUCAAUGCAAAGAUUUGGCACUAAGCCUAACUAACAACCCGAGUCUCAUCCUUGGAACUGUUUAAAAAAGAUUUUGUUUUGGAGUGGAGUGGUUGCUCAUGCCACACCUUUGAUCCCAGCACCCAGAAGGCAGAGGCAGGUGAGUUUGAGGCCAGGUUGGUCUACAUAGUGAGUUCCAAGACAGCAA